GUGGGGAAUUUUGGACAAUGGGGGCAACCCUGAUCCAGCCAUUCCGCGUGAGUGAAGAAGGCCUUCGGGUUGUAAAGCUCUUUCGUCAGGAACGAAACGGCGGGCUCUAACAUAGCCUGUUAAUGACGGUACCUGAAGAAGAAGCACCGGCUAACUACGUGCCAGCAGCCGCGGUAAUACGUAGGGUGCGAGCGUUAAUCGGAAUUACUGGGCGUAAAGCGUGCGCAGGCGGAUUGUUAAGCAAGACGUGAAAUCCCCGGGCUUAACCUGGGAAUGGCGUUUUGAACUGGCAGUCUAGAGUGCGUCAGAGGGGGGUGGAAUUCCACGUGUAGCAGUGAAAUGCGUAGAGAUGUGGAGGAACACCGAUGGCGAAGGCAGCCCCCUGGGAUGACACUGACGCUCAUGUACGAAAGCGUGGGUAGCAAACAGGAUUAGAAACCCCGGUAGUCC
rnacentral:rRNA from 1 species